rnacentral:rRNA from 1 species
ACGAAGGGGGCUAGCGUUGUUCGGAAUUACUGGGCGUAAAGCGCACGUAGGCGGAUUUGUAAGUAGGGGGUGAAAUCCCAGGGCUCAACCCUGGAACUGCCUUCUAAACUGCAAGUCUGGAGGUCAGGAGAGGCGAGUGGAAUACCGAGUGUAGAGGUGAAAUUCGUAGAUAUUCGGUGGAACACCAGUGGCGAAGGCGGCUCACUGGUCCGGUACUGACGCUGAGGUGCGAAAGCGUGGGGAGCAAACAGGA